rnacentral:lncRNA from 1 species
ACUCAAACGACGGUCCUCUCGAGAUUUUAAUUAUUUUUGCGGCAUUUUUUCAUUUUCUUUCUCUAAAUUUGCAUCUUGAAGGCCAGGUAUCUAUAGACCUCUUUUAGUAUUGGUUUCUUGUCACGAUUUUUUGAGACAGGAUGGAUUCACAGUGCGUAAAGAGACUAGAGCAAAUUCUGGCUCAUAGGAGACAGAUUGUGAUUUCGAUCGCUAAAAUAGAACCUACAGUCAGGGAAGGAGAUUAGGCUGCUCUUGUCGUUGAGUCCACGUCCCCACCAUCAGAAGCCAUGGUGCGGGAUUCUCCAAAAAAA